GGCCCAGCUGUGAGCUCUGGGGACCCCCUGCACCAUGGCCUGGCCUCUCUUCUGUCUGUCACUGCUCACCUUCUGCUCAGGCUCCCUGUCCCAGGCGGUGGUGACUCAGCCUCCCUCUGCCUCUGCAGCCCUGGGGAGCUCGGCCAGACUCUCCUGUACCCUGAGCAGUGAGAACAGUGGUAAUUAUGUUUAUUGGCACCAGCAGAGCCCAGGAAAGCCCCCUCGGUACCUCAUGUGGGUCAAAAGUGAUGGAAGUAUCGGCAGGGGCGACGGGAUCCCUGAGCGCUUCUCUGGCUCCGGAUCUGGGUCGAACCGAUUCCUGUCCAUCAGCAACGUCGAGCCUGAGGAUGAAGCCGAUUAUUUCUGCCAGUCGUAUCACUACCCUGGUGGUAGCUAUGCUUCUACACAGUGAUGCAUUCA